UUCCUCCCUCAGCGCCAUUUUGUGGCUGCGAGACCCGCAAAUAAAGGCUAGCGCCGGGGCUGCGGCGGGAGGAGCGCGGGGGGGCCGGCGGCGGCGCGGCCUCGGCCUGUGUGACUGGCGACGCCCGCGCAGCCUCGGGCUGGAAAGGGUGCAAGAUGACCAACGAAGAGCCUCUUCCUAAAAAGGUCCGUCUGAGUGAAACAGAUUUCAAAGUUAUGGCACGGGAUGAGUUAAUUCUGAGAUGGAAACAAUAUGAAGCAUAUGUUCAAGCUUUGGAGGGAAAGUACACAGAUCUCAAUUCAAAUGAUGUGACUGGCUUAAGGGAAUCUGAAGAAAAACUAAAGCAGCAACAGCAGGAGUCUGCACGCAGAGAAAACAUUCUUGUCAUGCGAUUAGCAACCAAGGAACAGGAGAUGCAAGAGUGUACUACUCAAAUCCAGUACCUCAAGCAAGUCCAGCAGCCCAGUGUUGCCCAACUGAGAUCAACAAUGGUAGACCCAGCCAUCAACUUGUUUUUCCUAAAAAUGAAAGGUGAACUGGAACAGACUAAAGACAAACUGGAACAAGCCCAAAAUGAACUGAGUGCCUGGAAGUUUACGCCUGAUAGGUAAACAAAUCAUACUCCCCAGUCAAGACUUCCCUGACAGUCCCACCUCGAGAAAGCUGUGGUGGGACAGCCAAGUACUCGUUUCCACACCAAGACUCAGACUUUUUGAGCCAAAAAAAAGCCACAUUCUUAUACUGCCCAGCUUGUAAUGGUUAAUGUAAAACUUACCAGAUGAACCUUGUGUUUCAGCUUUUCUCUUCCCCUUCCCCUUGCUUCAGAGGCCUGAUGCCGUCGGACUAUUCCGAAGAAGAGGCCACCUCCGAAAAAUUCCCCUUCUAGAACAUGUAGACACUUGAGAAAUGUUUCUGUUUGAAGAAAAUAGAGGGGAAAACAGAAGUCUUAAGUCUGUGGCACACUGUGUCUUCAGACAGUUUGGAGGAUUGAAAACCUAGAGGUUUUAAAUCAUGAAUUGAACAUGUAAAAUUCCAGUAAAAUGUAAAAAUGGAAUAUGCAUCGCUCUUAACCUUGAGCAUAGUGACUUAUAGACACUGUACAUCAGUUUUGCCAAUAAGACUGUGGACUUCAUGAUUGUUGAACUACUGGGUCAAAACUCAAUGAGGUGAUUUUGCUUUUAAAGGGUUUACAUUCUAAGAACCAACUUCUAAUAGCCGUGAGACAAUCAAGCCAUAGCUACCAGUAUAAGUAGAGCAUAUAUUUAUCCAUUAGCUCUCAGCUCUAUAUUACAUAAUGGAGCCUUAAAUAUGUGGUUUUUAUCAAUGGUUUGUUCUUUGAAUGGUUGUGGAACUGUAGAUAACCUUACUUUAACUGAGGACUGUACAAACGUGAAGGUGUGGUCUCACUCUUCAGGUUUAAAACUGUUGGAAGCAUUAUAAGCAUUCGUUUUAUAAUUAGAUUGUAUAAGGUAUUGGCUGUGAUGAGACUCAACGUUAUUCAGUAAACCCUCAUCUCAUUCAGCAGGCACAUGUUAAACAGCAUUGUCGUUGGUGUUAAAUGGGGGAAUGUGUUCCUUCAUUGUAUUUGGGCCUUUUGUAUUGAAUUCUUGAUAUUAAAUUAAAUGUGCCUUGAAAUAGUUGGGUUUUUUUUUUUUUUAAUUCAAGGAAUACUCUGAUAAUUUUGUUGUACUCUUUAUAUUUUACUUUGGGGGGUUAUGGAGAGCAGUCAAGACUUUGGAAAAAUUAUCCCGUGCUCUUCAAAUUCAAAGUGAAGGAAAAGGCUGUCUCAUUUAAAAGACUUUAUUCCAGGUGGUAUAAAAGAAAAGAGACUUGGCAUUUGGCCCCAGGAUAUUGCAAUAGACCAUAAUGUGGGACAGUCUCACAAGGUACCUGCCAGAAGAUUGGGGAAAUAAUGUGUUGGAACUCUGGGCUGGCACAAGUGAGACUUUCUGUGAAUUGAAAAAAGGUAUAGUGAUCAUUCUAGCAAGUUCAUUUGCUCAUUUAGAUAAAUGAGGCAUUAUAUUCUUCAUGCUUCCAUCCAAUCCUGGAGGUGAAUUUUUUUCGUCUAUAAGUCACCAGUUUGAAUUUUCGCUUGGUGAUAAUGGAGUCUGAGAUGAGUAGAAGAUAAAAGUUCCAGCUUGUCCCAACGUUUAAGUGCAGUUUUAACAAGGGUGACUUAAGUUCUCUCUUAAUCGUUCAAAUCAAUUCCAAACAGGCAAAAAGUUAAUGGCGAAGUGUCGAAUGCUUAUCCAGGAGAACCAAGAGCUUGGAAGGCAGCUGUCCCAGGGCCGUAUUGCACAGCUUGAAGCAGAGUUGGCUUUACAGAAGAAAUAU